rnacentral:rRNA from 1 species
AUUGAACGCUGGCGGCAAGCCUAACACAUGCAAGUCGAACGAGUGGCGGACGGGUGAGUAAUGUCUGGGAAACUGCCUGAUGGAGGGGGAUAACUACUGGAAACGGUAGCUAAUACCGCAUACAAUCGGAUGUGCCCAGAUGGGAUUAGCUAGUAGGGGGGGUAAAGGCUCACCUAGGCGACGGUCCCUAGCUGGUCUGAGAGGAUGAACAGCCACCCGGGAAAUUGGACACGGUCCACACUCCUACGGGCUGCAGCAGGGGGGAAUAGUGGAUAAUGGGCGCAAGCCUGAUGCAGCCAUGCCGCGUGUAUGAUGAGGGCCUUCGGGUUUUAAAUUACUUUCAGCGUGGAGGCGUUACCCGCAGAAGAAGCACCGGCUAACUCCGUGCCAGCAGCCGCGGUAAUUC